rnacentral:rRNA from 1 species
UGGGUAGUCCGCACGAGCGCACCUUGUCCUUAGUUACCAGCAUUAAGUUGGGUACUUUAAGGAGACUGCCGGUGACAAACCGGAGGAAGGUGGGGACGACGUCAAGUCAUCAUGGCCCUUACGUGUAGGGCUACACACGUGCUACAAUGGCAUAUACAGAGGGAAGCGAGACAGCAAUGUGGAGCGGACCCCUUAAAGUAUGUCGUAGUCCGGAUCGGAGUCUGCAACUCGACUCCGUGAAGUCGGAAUCGCUAGUAAUCGCAGGUCAGAAUACUGCGGUGAAUACGUUCCCGGGCCUUGUACACACCGCCCGUCACACCAUGGGAGUGGGAUGCAAAAGAAGUGGCUAGUUUAACCUUCGGGAGAACGGUCACCACUUUGUGUUUCAUGACUGGGGUGAAGUCGUAACAAGGUAACCCUAGGGGAACCUGGGGUUGGAUCACCUCCUU